UACGUAGGCAGCAAGCGUUGUUCGGAGUUACUGGGCGUAAAGAGUGUGUAGGCGGUUCUCUAAGUUCGGUGUGAAAUCUCCCGGCUCCACUGGGAGGGUGCAGCGGAAACUGGAAUGCUAGAGUGUGGGAGAGGUAAGCGGAAUUCCUGGUGUAGCGGUGAAAUGCGUAGAUAUCAGGAGGAACACCUGCGGUGUAGACAGCUUACUGGACCACGACUGACGCUGAGACACGAAAGCGUGGGUAGCAAACAGG
rnacentral:rRNA from 1 species